AUUGAACGCUGGCGGCAGGCCUAACACAUGCAAGUCGAACGAGUGGCGGACGGGUGAGUAAUGUCUGGGAAACUGCCUGAUGGAGGGGGAUCACUACUGGAAACGGUAGCUAAUACCGCAUACCAUCCGAUUUGCCCAGAUGGGAUUAGCGAGUUGGUGGGGUAACGGCUCACCAAGGCGACGAUCCCUAGCUGGUCUGAGAGGAUGACCGGCCAAACUGGACAGGAUAAACGGUCCAGAUUCCUACGGGAGGCAGAAGUGGGGAAUAUUGCAAAAUGGGCGAAAGCCGGAGGCAGCCAUGCCGCGUGUAUGAAGAAGGCUUUCGGGUUGUAAAGUACUUUCAGCGGGGAGGCGUUACCCGCAGAAGAAGCACCGGCUAACUCCGUGCCAGCAGCCGCGGUAAUAC
rnacentral:rRNA from 1 species